UACAGAGGUGGCAAGCGUUGUUCGGAAUUACUGGGCGUAAAGGGCGCGUAGGUGGCCUUCUUAGUCAGACGUGAAAUCCCCGGGCUUAACUCGGGAACUGCGUCUGAUACUGGAAGGCUGGAGUUCGGGAGAGGAAUGUGGAAUUCCAGGUGUAGCGGUGAAAUGCGUAGAUAUCGCUUGGAACGCCGAAGGUGAAAACAGGCUGCUGGGGUUGCGCCGACGCUGAGACACGAAAGCCAGGGGAGCAAACGGG
rnacentral:rRNA from 1 species